rnacentral:lncRNA from 1 species
GCCACUCAAGAGCUGGGGAUGCGGCUCCCCCUGGCACCGAGAAAAGCGCAGUCCCCCCCUUGAUGUGCAUGGGAGGCGGUGGUUGCCGACUGAAUGCUGGUGACGCUGAGCUCUGGUGCAUGUUGAAUGAAUGAAGGCUCCUAGAGGAGGCGGUGACAUGGGUCUGGCAGCCAGACACCCCGCCUAGAGCCCUGCUCCCCACACGUGCAGCGUGGCAUCAGAGACAGGUAAUCACCGACAGCAGGGUUUAUUUACAAAGGGGUGAUGGGGACUUCUGGGAUGGAGAAGGAAGGGGCCGAGGCUGGCGUCCCCAGGAGGGAGGGCGCUCUGCCUCUUGUACGCUGGGGCCUGCUCUGGUGUCCUGCGCUCUCCCCGUGUCUCUCCUUCCUGCCCAUGUGAUGGCCAGGAGCUGGCCCAGGUGGGAUGGCCGGAAGGUGGGGAGCAGAUGCACAGGGGGGGCCCAGGACACAGGAAGAACUUUCCCAAGCCCCUGUGGGGAGGGACAGUCCCGGGACGGGUUCCCUUAGCAACAGGGUGGAGCCCGUAGGCUGUCUUGAUAAGGGUGGAGGUAAGGCCCUGCAGGCAGUGGCCUGGCCAUCAGGGGACUGUCCCCACCUUCCCAGACCCAGCUGGCCCCACUGGACCCCAGCCCUGCCUCCUGGCCUCCCAGCCUCCCCGCCUCCCAUUUAGUUCUGGCUUUAGCCUCUGGUCGCCAGGCGGGCCCAGGCCAGGUUGGCCGCCCAGCCUCCCCCUGCAGUCGUUUUCUAGAAGGCAAUGGUCAGUUUUUAAAGGUCUUUUGCAGCUGUAGGUGGACAGCGCCUUUACGGUGUGUGCCCAUCUUCAUGAGGCGCUGGACAGGGAACGGGACCUCAGGAGGGCUGGACCAGCGCCCAACCAUGGUCCCACCUGUUUUGAAGCCCCAAGUUUCCUGUGCCCUUAGGGAAACCUGACCUGCCCUUCCACAGGCUGAUAGCACCCAGGGGAGGAGCAGCCCCACCCCGUGCUGGUGACCAAAGCCCUCCUCGCUGGGCCAAUUUAAUCUGCCCUGUGCGAAUCACCGCGACUGUAAAAUGUUUAAUGGGGUACCAGGAUGGAACCCUCGGCCCCUGAGCCCUGUCCCCAGCCCCAUGUUGUAUUUUACUUAGAGUCAGGGUCUCCCCGAGUUGCUUAGGAUUGUGCUCAGUGGCUGAGGCUGGUCUCCAACUUGCAAUCCUCCUGCCUCAGCCUCCCGAGCUGCUGGGAUGCCAGGCGUGGGCCACUGGCCGGGCUGACUGUGAUGUUUUGAUUCAAAUUAUGGCGGAGGGGGUGGGGCAGGGGCUCUAGGUGCAGGGCCCUGGUGGCAGCUUGCAAGGACACUUGGCCUUGGUGUAUGACGAUGGCGCCCUCUUCAGGUGGGCCGAGCCCCUGCACCCUGAGUUCAGGGCCAGUCUUGCUUUUUGUUGGCCACAGAAGGAGGCCCCAUGGCCGGGCAGGGCCUGCCUCCUGCGCUGGGCAGGAGCCCCUGUGGGCGUGUCCUCCAGGUCCCCAGCCCCUGGUCUCCCAGCGUGACCACUGCUGUCCUCCCCGUCCAGGCUGCGUGUGACGCAGGCCCCUGCCUCCUCAGGCCCAGAGAAGCAGGUGGGGUCACUCGGGGACACUGAGCCCAGCAUAAGUGAUGUCCUGGCAGGUGAAGGGACCGAGACCUGAGGACAGCAAGGCCAUCGUGGCACCUUGAAUGGGGUCGCGGCAGCAACUCUGUC